UAUGGGGAUCCUAUGGGGUCUGAGGGGGUCUUAUGGGGGUCCUAUGGGGUCUGAGAGGGUUUUAUGGGGAUCCUAUGGGGUCUGAGGGGGUCUUAUGGGGGUCCUAUGGGGUCUGAGAGGGUUUUAUGGGGGUCCUAUGGGGUCUGAGGGGGUCUUAUGGGAGUCCUAUGGGGUCCCAUGGGGGUCCUAUGGGGUCUGAGAGGGUCUUAUGGGGGUCCUAUGAAGUCCUAUGGGGUCUGAGGGGGUCUUAUGGGGGUCCUAUGGGGUCUUAUGGGGUCUGAGGGGGUUUUAUGGGGAUCCUAUGGGGUCCUAUGGGGUCUGAGAGGGUCUUAUGGGGGUCCUAUGGGGUCUGAGGGGGUCUUAUGGGGGUCCUAUGGGGUCUGAGGGGGUCUUAUGGGGGUCCUAUGAAGUCCUGUGGGGUCCUAUGGGGGUUCUAUGGGGUCUUAUGGGGUCUGAGAGGGUCUUAUGGGGUCCUAUGGGGUCUGUGGGGGUCUUAUGGGGGUCCUAUGGGGUCCUAUGGGGCCUGAGGGGGUCUUAUGGGGGUCCUAUGGGGUCCUAUGGGGUCUGAGAGGGUCUUAUGGGGUCCUAUGGGGUCUUAUGGGGUCCUGUGUGGUCUUAUGGGGUCCUAUGGGGUCUUAUGGGGUCUGAGGGGGUCUUAUGGGGGUCUUAUGGGGUUCCUAUGGGGUCUUAUGGGGGUCCUAUGGGGUCCUAUGAGGUCUGAGGGGAUCUUAUGGGGGUCCUAUGGGGUCUGAGGGGGUCUUAUGGGGUCCUAUGGGGCCCUAUGGGGUCUGAGGGGGUCUUAUGGGGUCCUAUGGGGUCUGAGGGGGUCUUAUGGGGGUCCUAUGGGGUCUUAUGGGGUUCCCUUUCCCCCCCCCCAUAUAGGACCCCAGCCCAUCCCCCCCCUGCCUCCCGGGGGGGGCAGCGGAACCGGAACCGGACAGUGGGUUGGGCCGAACCGACGAGAGCACGAGGAACGAGGAGAGCUCGGAACACGACCUGCUAUUGGGGGAGGGGGACGAGGGACCCCCCCCCAGAGCCCACCCCCCCCCACCUUUAAGCCCCCCCCCCUUCAUAUACCCCUCAAUGGAAAAACGGGUCCCGAUACUACUGAAGCACCCCCCCCAUAUAGGGACCACCCCCCCUCCAUAGAAGCACAUGGGGGUCCCUAAAUUUGGGCCGUUUUGGGGCAUUUUGGGCUCAUUUGGGGCCAUUUUUAUCUCCUCCCCCCCGCCCCCGAGCGAUACGGUUUCGUAGUUGUGGGGGGGGGUUCCUUGUGCCCCCCCCCCAUAUUGUCUCGUCUGUGUUCUGAGGUUUAUGCGGUGCGGGGGGGGUCGGGGGUCUGUUGGGGGUCAAUAAAAGCAGCGACUGGUUCCUUUGUAUUCCUUUC
rnacentral:lncRNA from 1 species